rnacentral:lncRNA from 1 species
GAAAUACUGUCUGUAGCUGCUGCAAACUGCUAGGAAGAUUUGGGUUGACCAAGUACUUUUGAAAUCCUCCUUAUAACUAGCAGCCAUUUUCCAUUACAGCUUGUAGAGAAGCAAUGUUUGUUUGUCUCAUGAAAAAUGCCGGUGACCAAGGACAUACAAGGUGGAAACAGAAAUUCAGCUUCAUACAGCUAGGGGAAAUCAACACAACUUGGAUUUUUCCUGCCUGGUGAUAUAAAAAUUUCUCAACAAACAUCAGCUUCCUAACUGUUGCAACAGCAAGGACAUCGAG